rnacentral:rRNA from 1 species
UACGUAGGGUGCAAGCGUUGUCCGGAAUUACUGGGCGUAAAGCGUGCGCAGGCGGUUCGUUAAGUUCGUUGUGAAAGCCCCGGGCUCAACCUGGGAACUGCAAUGGAAACUGGCGGGCUUGAGUGUGGCAGAGGGGGGUGGAAUUCCGCGUGUAGCAGUGAAAUGCGUAGAGAUGCGGAGGAACACCGAUGGCGAAGGCAGCCCCCUGGGCCAACACUGACGCUCAGGCACGAAAGCGUGGGGAGCAAACAGG